UAGGCUGCAGUUGAUGCUGCGACAAGGAACUUGGCAUUGGAGUGGGGAACUGACUACGAGAUUAGAGUGAACGGGAUUGCACCAGGCCCUAUUGGAGGUACACCUGGAAUGAGUAAACUUGGACCAGACGAGAUUGAGAACAAAGCAGGAGAUUAUAUACCUCUCUACAAACUUGGUGAGAAGUGGGAUAUCGCCAUGGCUGCACUCUACCUCAGCUGUGAUUCCGGUAUGUUGAGUUUAAAUCAUAGUCUUUUACUUUUGAAACAGUAUAUAAAUUGGUUAGAUGAUGAAAGAUUUGGCUGAUUUUGGUUAACAGGGAAGUAUGUGAAUGGACUGACAAUGGUGGUAGAUAAUGGACAGUGGCUUAGCAGACCUCGUCAUCUUCCCAAAGAAGCUGUCAAGGAACUCUCCCGUGUUGUGGAGAAGAGGUCCAGGGCCAAGCCGACCAGUAAACUUUAAAGUUCCAGUUCCCAAAUUAGUACAUAUCAGAUAAUUCGGAUACUUUUAAAUAUUUAAGAUAAAAAACUAUUUUGAUAGUUUAAAAUUUUGGGUAAUUUGGUUUAUAAAUAAUAUUUUUAGGAUAUUAAGAUUUAGAUACCAAAUAUAAUUGAUACUUUUAGGUAUAUUAUCUGUAUUUUAAAAAUUCGGAUAUCAGUUCAAGUUCAAUUUUAAUUUUUCGGUUUUAGAAAUAUAAGAUUCAUGCAACUUAACCAGUGGUGGUAGUCCAGUGGCGCUUGAGGGAUUAAACCCAAUACGGCGAACCCUGGUUCGAACCUCGCUGGCCACACGGAUAUGGGCUAUUGCUUUCGGCUCAUUUGAAUGCCCAGGAGAAGAUCUAUCCGUGGGCUAUACCUCCACCCGGAGGUUAGGUCUGUGUCUUUAAUAGAUCUGGGUUAACCUUUUUUUGUCAAAAAAAAAAAAUCAUGCAGCUUGGUUUGGUUUCGGCUAUUCGGUUGGGUACGGUUCAGUUAUUCAAUUCCAAUAAAUGUGCCCAUGUCUGUGACAGGUGAUGGAAGUCAGUAGAAGCGAAACGAAACACGAGUGGUCUUUUGCCUUAUCAUUUUGUAUUCUUCUUUUCUUCUUCUUUCUUCUUCUUAGCUUUUACGUGUCGUGUCUCUUGAACCGUGAUCAUGGACUCUCCGUUCAAGCCCGAUGUACUCAAAGGCAAGGUUGCUCUCAUCACCGGCGGCGGAUCCGGCAUCGGUUUCGAGAUCUCCUCUCAGUUCGGCAAACAUGGAGCUUCCAUCGCCAUCAUGGGUCGCCGCAAACAAGUCCUCGACGCCGCCGUCUCUGAUCUCCGAUCUCUCGGGAUUCCGGUAACUCCUCGAAAGUUUGUUUCUUUUUCGAUUGCUUGUUUAGUUAAUUCACUCUCUCUCUCUCUCUCUCUGUUUGCAUGUGUCUCUUAGGCUGUUGGGUUUGAAGGUGAUGUUCGUAAGCCAGAGGAUGCGAGAAGAGUCGUUGAAUCAACUUUUAACCAUUUCGGUAAGGUUGAUAUUCUCGUCAACGCCGCCGCUGGAAACUUCCUUGCCGCAGCUGAGGAUUUGUCCACCAAUGGGUUCCGAACAGGUGAACUCUCAUCCACCCUUCUGUUCACUUUGAGUCUUGUCUAUGGCUAAAGGAAACAUCUUUUUGGUGUGUUGCUGUUUUGUAGUUUUGGAUAUUGAUGCUGUAGGAACAUUCAACAUGUGCCGUGAAGCACUCAAGUAUCUUAAGAAAGGAGGACCUGGUAGAGACGCAUCAAGCGGUGGUGGUUCGAUUCUCAACAUUAGUGCUACUCUGCACUACACUGCUUCUUGGUACCAAAUCCAUGUCUCUGCAGCCAAGGUAAUUCAUUAGUCUUCAGGAACUAAGUUUGGGAAGAAACAAUCAAAAUGUAACAAAUGUUUUUUUUUUUUGAAAUAGGCUGCAGUUGAUGCUGCGACAAGGAACUUGGCAUUGGAGUGGGGAACUGACUACGAGAUUAGAGUGAACGGGAUUGCACCAGGCCCUAUUGGAGGUACACCUGGAAUGAGUAAACUUGGACCAGACGAGAUUGAGAACAAAGCAGGAGAUUAUAUACCUCUCUACAAACUUGGUGAGAAGUGGGAUAUCGCCAUGGCUGCACUCUACCUCAGCUGUGAUUCCGGUAUGUUGAGUUUAAAUCAUAGUCUUUUACUUUUGAAACAGUAUAUAAAUUGGUUAGAUGAUGAAAGAUUUGGCUGAUUUUGGUUAACAGGGA
rnacentral:lncRNA from 1 species